rnacentral:lncRNA from 1 species
UUUAAAUUCAUGCUCUUCUGUUUUAAAUUCACCAAUAAAGAGUAAGCCCUCAAAAAUCCUAGGCCCCCACCCCCAUAAAAGCAGGACCCAGGCCUAUGCACUCUCUCUCUCUCCUCACGGCCUUGCUGUGUGGCCCUCGGUGUGCUGUGCAACUUCCAGGUCUGGGCCCCUGUGGUCUCCGGUUCUUGUCCUCUCAGUCACCUGCUUCAGUUCAACUCAUUUCUCCUUUGCUUGAAGUAACCAGAGUGGAAGUACAUCAUUGCAUCCAGAAAACUCUGACUGGUCCAGAGAAUGGCACCUGGAAUUGAGGUGGGACAAAUGAGAGAUGCUAACUGUGGGACUGGCUGAGGAACAAAGGAUACGAGAAUUAACCAACUUCCAUCAUUAAAGAAAACAGAGACAUUUGAAGUGAAAUGUGGGCAAGACAGAAUGCGGGAGACUUGUCAAGACUUUUUUUUCUUUUUGAAAGAGAAGAGAGACUAUAUCCUACAAGAUAUCAAAAGAUUCUCUAAAAUUACAAUAUCUAAAUUAUGUAAACUCAGAAAAAAAGGAGCGAAAUGAUGGAUCAGAAGAGAAUUCAGCAUCAGGGCUAUUUAAAAUAUGUUUAAAAUUAUUUAAAAAGGGGGGCUGGCCCCGUGGCCAAGUGGUUAGGUUCACGCGCUCCGCUGCAGGCGGCCCAGUGUUUCAUUGGUUCGAAUCCUGGGUGCGGACAUGGCACUGCUCAUCAAGCCAUGCUGAGGCAGCAUCCCACAUGCCACAACUAGAAGGACCCACAACUAAGAAUAUACAACUAUGUACUGGGGGGCUUUGGGGAGAA